rnacentral:snRNA from 1 species
UCGCUUUGGCAGCAUAUAUACUAAAAUUGUAACGAUACAGAGAUUAGCAUGGCCCCUGCACAAGGAUGACGCACAAAUUCAUGAAGCGUUCCAUAUUAAA